UCCUUAUAUAAUCCCGUAAAUUCUGCUACAAGAACAAAUUCCCGAAAAUCCCACAUUAAAUUACAUAAACCCAUCCCCACACAUAAAGAAGUAUACCUAACCAAAUACAUAAAUACAUAACAAGCUUUGAAAUUGAGGAAACACCUCUUUGUCCAUCGCUUAGACACCCACCUAAUCAAAACACAACUGACAUCAGACACAGACGAACGCAAACUGACUGUUUUUAAUCGCCCGCUAAAAUAGGAAUAUUCGCUGGUAACUGCUGGAAUUCGCUUGAUAAUCUUGAACACAUAAGUAAUGGUAUAAUAAAUAUAAUUUAAGUUCUAUAAACCCUGCAAUAACCCAACAACAUAACUCUAUUAACUCACAUACCUUUACCACGCACAGAAGAAAUAUCUUGUAAAUAUUACGGUAGUACAAAAUACGAAACUACGCAAACGUAAACAGUUCACAUACAUGCUAGCUUUACGGCUGUUAUAUAAACAUCAUGGCUGCGCUCUGGAGCGGGAACAUGUGUUUCAAUACAUGAAUUUCCUGACGACUUACACGAUAAAAACUCCGUAAGUAAGAUUAUUAACGGGGGUAUUAAGUGUCCAACUGAUUAAAGCAAACCUACAAUUUUGAGAGAAAUAGAUUCAUAUCGCAUAUUUGACAAAACCCCGUGUUGUCACAAUAUUUCAAAAACAGCAUUCGAUGACGAUCAUAAUCAUGUCCACAAGUACCUGUGGACGAUACAUGGCGGAUGCUGAUCAGCUGAUAUGUUUGGGAGAUAUACUAAGUACUGUAGGCUUACGUUAUAGGUGACAUUUGUGGUCAGAGUGAGUGGUCAUAGCGUUAACAUUGCCACCAAUUUCUAAAUACCAUUUUCUUUUGAAGAAAACGGCCAAUAAAUCGAACACAGAAGACAGAUUUCUUGUGGUUAAGUGCACGGGGUUGCUUUUUGAUUGCUGUAAGGGAGGCAACUGUAAGAUUGAGGAUAUCGAAUAUAGAGUCAAUUUAAUUGGCCGAUUCUUGCACGAUUUUGGAAUGGGGUUAACGAAGUGACAGAUACGUGUAACUGCAGCAAUAUUCAGAUGAUAUCAAUAUGGAUGGCUGCGUGUGGUUGACAGUUGUUGCGCUUAUAAGGACUAUUACAUAAAAUGUACCUUAGAUUUCAAAAUCAGGAAUUGUAGAAUUCGGCCUAUGAAUAAUAAGAUAAUUAAGCGAUACACGCGUCUACACCCUCAGAUUUGUUGUUUUUGUAAAUAUUUUCGGGGUCGGAACAUUGUUUAUCUUGAGUGUUGUUUACAAACAUGAUCACGCUCUGUUUAUAACAAGGAAAGCCGAACAGGUAACAUGGCCCGUCACGUGACGAAGUCAUGAACUUCCGUAGCAAAGGAAAAUGGAUCACGUGGCAAGAGUAAACAAACACAUGUCUCAGGAAUGACACUUACUUUUGCGUCUUUCUGCUUAUUCUGCAUUCUGGCAAAUUCCAUGAGGUAACUUUCAGGUCCCCGUUACGUUUACGUGUUUACAUCUGUCAUGUUACUUCUUUCUCGGCUAAUACGCAUGCGCAGUAACAGGUUUACGAGCGGUAAUGUAUGAAUUAUUAUUACUAUAUAUGUAACUAAUAAACAAUUAUAUGGCAUGCUUUUAUUUCGGAAAAUACGAGAAUAUAUGAAUAGGCGAGGCCCUCACUCACCUCACGACAAAUACGACACUUUACAACCAUGUGAAUGUACGCGACUUGUUUACUCCACACUCUUCUAACAAUCAAACAAGUGAUUCUGAGAAAGAAAUUGUUUUCAAAUGUACAUGUAUUACGAAAAAUUUAAUCAACAUUACACCUUUAUGUUGGCUGAUUUGUGCCGUUUCGUCCUUCCGUCUUUUAGCCCCAAAAAGACAAAACAAUAAGAAACCUCAUAUUUUAUCUUAUCGCCAUGAAAAGACGAAACAUCAAUCGUCUUUUCGAAAAAAAAACAAAAAAAC